GGUGUUUUUUGUUUUGUUUUGGCUGCUCUACACUGCCUGUGGAAUUUUGUUCUCAAACCAGGGUUCGAACCCCGUGAUCCCUGCAGUGUAGAAUCUUAAUCACUGGACUACCAGGCAAGAAUACUGGAGUGGGCUGCCAUGCCCUCCUCCAGGGGAUCUUUCCAACCCAGGCAUCAAACCUAGGUCUCCGGCAUUGCAGGUGGAUUCUUUACCGUCUGAACCACCAGGGAAGCCCCAGGAGAUAUCAUGUAGAACCCAAGGAAGAAUCCCUGUGACCUAAAAUGGAAAAAGCCACCUCCUGUUGCAGACUUCUCAGGGGGCUUAAAAAAAAAACAAAAAACCAUCUGCCAGUGCAGGAGACAGCAUAGACUUGGGUUCAAUCCCUAGGUUGGGAAGAUCUACUGGAAAAGGAUGUGGCAAGCCACUCUAAUAUUCUUGUCUGAAGAACCCAUGGACAGAGGAGUCUGAUGGCCUAUAGUCCAUAGGGUUGCAAAAACACGACUCAGCAACUGAGCACACAACACACCUGUCGCUAUGGCAGUGAGAGAAGUGUUGGGAGGAUCUGUUUGAAACACUGUGUGAUGUUAAUCAUGUUUGUGUGAGCAGUUUGUCUCCAGCAAAUUAUGUAUCAUAAUAAAAAGUGAUUUU